GAUCCUGGCUCAGGAUGAACGCUAGCUACAGGCUUAACACAUGCAAGUCGAGGGGCAGCAUGUUGGUUGCUUGCAACCGAUGAUGGCGACCGGCGCGACGGGUGAGUAACGCGUAUCCAACCUACCCUUGUCCAUCGGAUAACCCGUCGAAAGGCGGCCUAACACGAUAUGCGGUUCACCGCAGGCAAUCUAACCGUGAACGAAAUGUGAAGGUAGAAGGAUGGGGAUGCGU
rnacentral:rRNA from 1 species